rnacentral:lncRNA from 1 species
GCAAGCAAAAAGAUACUAUCAGCCAAGAAUACAGAAAUAAAUCAGUGCUGAAAUCUAAACCUGGAAGCACUCAACUGACAACCAACAGACUGACUUGACACAGUUGCAACAGCCUAAAUCACAGCUCCAGCAGUUACCAACAGAAGGCCAAACACCUCACAUAUUUAGCUUCAGAUAAGUAUUAUUAUAUUUCUGUUUGGAACAGAAAUACUGUAGACA